CCUACGGGAGGCAGCAGUAAGGAAUAUUGGUCAAUGGGCGCAAGCCUGAACCAGCCAUGCCGCGUGCAGGAAGACGGCCCUAUGGGUUGUAAACUGCUUUUGAACAAGAGAAAACCUCGGUACGUGUACCGAGCUGAUAGUAUUGUUAGAAUAAGCAUCGGCUAACUUCGUGCCAGCAGCCGCGGUAAGACGAAGGAUGCAAGCGUUAUCCGGAUUCAUUGGGUUUAAAGGGUGCGUAGGCGGCCUGAUAAGUCAGUGGUGAAAUCUCUCAGCUUAACUGAGAAACUGCCAUUGAUACUGUCGGGCUUGAGUACAGAUGAUGUGGGCGGAAUAUGACAUGUAGUGGUGAAAUACUUAGAUAUGUCAUAGAACACCGAUUGCGAAGGCAGCUCACAAAACUGUAACUGACGCUGAGGCACGAAAGUNCGGGGGAUCAAACAGGAUUAGAUACCCUGGUAGUCCGCACCGUAACCGAUGAUUACUCGUUGUUGGCAAUAUGACCGUCAGCGACCAAGCGAAAGCGANAAGUAAUCCACCUGGGAGUACGCGCACGGUGAACGUUAA
rnacentral:rRNA from 1 species